rnacentral:tRNA from 1 species
UAGAUUGAAGCCCGCUGGAUUGGGUAUUUAGUUGUUAACUAAAAUUAUUACGGGAUCAAGGCCCGUCGGUCUAGG